rnacentral:miRNA from 1 species
CUAGCAGCAAAAAGAACUUCAGA